AUGCCCUGAUAACACCAAGACACAGCUCUCCACCCCAGUUUCAUCUUUAGAAACCCUAACGGCUUUCAGAGAGAGCGAGAGACGACAGGUGGUACGGCACCACCACCGGAAACACCGCCAUCAUCUCCAAUCGCACCACCACAUCUAACUAUGUGCCAUUACAUCUUCUUCUUCGCUACCUCUACGAACCCGCCGACGUAGAUGAUCGGAGUUGGUCGGCUUUACGGCGUGCUCUUUCUCUAUUUCUACUUUUCAUGUUCAGGGUUCCGGCGAACUGAUUCAAGGUGUGUGUAUGUAAUCUGAGUAGAUCAGUCUUACCUACGGCAACUGAGAGACACUAGGUGAGCCAUUUAUCACUUUAUAUGCUCCCGAUCAGAAUUCCGGCAAGCCCCUUUGGGCUUGCAUGUUUCGUUUCUAUUUAGAUCUACAAGCAAGAACUAAUUUUUAUUGGAUUGGAGUUUAAUACGAUGGUUCUUCUGAAUUCCUGCAACCUUUGGAUCUCGAAUGGUUUUGUGAGAUGAUGUUGAGCAGCAAAUGACGAUGGUGAUAGUUCAAAUGGUAUAUCAGGGGCUGCUAUAGAUAGUUUUAGAUCAUGGCCAACCUCAUUCAACACGAACAGAUCAUAACUCUGAGCACAUGAACGGCAAGGGGUGAGCGCAGUGGCGGAUCUUGCCCGUUGAACCUGCCAGGGCCGAAAGACAC